rnacentral:rRNA from 1 species
CACUAACCCAUGUGACGUUACCAAACUGUUGCCUCGGCGGGAUCUUCUGCCCCGGGNNSGUCGCAGCCCCGGACCAAGGCGCCCGCCGGAGGAAUCAACCAAAACUCUUAUUGUAUACCCCCUCGCGGGUUUUUUUUAUAAUCUGAGCCUUCUCGGCGCCUCUCGUAGGCGUUUCGAAAAUGAAUCAAAACUUUCAACAACGGAUCUCUUGGUUCUGGCAUCGAUGAAGAACGCAGCGAAAUGCGAUAAGUAAUGUGAAUUGCAGAAUUCAGUGAAUCAUCGAAUCUUUGAACGCACAUUGCGCCCGCCAGUAUUCUGGCGGGCAUGCCUGUCCGAGCGUCAUUUCAACCCUCGAACCCCUCCGGGGGGUCGGCGUUGGGGAUCGGCCUUCCUUCACGGGGGCCGUCUCCGAAAUACAGUGGCGGUCUCGCCGCAGCCUCUCCUGCGCAGUAGUUUGCACACUCGCAUCGGGAGCGCGGCGCGUCCACAGCCGUUAAACACCCAACUUUCUGAAAUGUUGACCUCGGAUCAGGUAGGAAUACCCGCUGAACUUAAGCAUAUCAAUAA